rnacentral:lncRNA from 1 species
CGUAACCUCAGAAGUUCCUCUUUAGAGGGAGUGACUUUUUAGAGGGAAGUCCCAGUAAAUGGUGGAUUGAGGAUGAAAAAUCCAAUGGCCAUACUUUCUCAUAUUUGGAGAUCCAACAGCCCAGUGAGCGUCUCUCAUGUGUGGAGGAAGCCCUUCAAUGCAGAGUGAGGCUCGAGGGAGAUACCCAGAAAGACAAGAGGGUAAGUGACCCUGAGACAGACGAAAGGAAAAGAAAGUAAAGGAUCUACUGGGGCAAAACCAGGGCAGCAAAGGUAUUGGUGGUCUUAUAAGAAUAGGAAGAAAGGGCUCUGGCUCUCUCUCCACGAGCAUGUACUGAGCAAAGGCCAUGUGAGGACAUGGCAAGAAGGUGGCCAUGUGCAACCGAUGGAGAGAGUCUUCACCAAACACUGACCCUGUCAGCACCUUGAUCUUGGACUUUCCAGCCUCCAGCGUCAUGAGGAAGUUAAUUUCGGUUGGUUAAGCUACCCAGUCUAUGAUAUUUUGUUAUGGCAACCUGAGCUAAGACACUGAAGAAUGAGAAGGGAAGCAAUAAACGGAAUGGCAAUCAUGAAUAUAAUGGGGAGGAAGAACCUUCAGAAAUUUACAUUCUGAAUUAUUUUAUGUUUUUUAAUUCUUCAACAGAAUCAAAUGAAUUGUUUAAAGUUAAAAUCUAAGGUCUUUAUCGUCAGAGGGUUUGGUUUGUCUGUUUGCGACUGUGAGCUUCCAAAGCUUUAAUCUGGACCCCACCCCAACAUCAGGAGUUUUCUAACGGGUACGAGGUGGCUACAAAGCUGUCACCAUUAUUAGGGGGCAGCCUUUAAAAUGGAAGUUCUUAGAUGACAAAUUCUAUGACAUUUAUAUACGUACACAGUGCCUGGUACAAGAUCAGCG